rnacentral:rRNA from 1 species
AGGCAUUGGUGGGAUACUACCCUAAUUGUAUUGGAUUUCUAACCCGCAGCACUUAUCGUGCUGGGAGACAGUGUCAGGCGGGCAGUUUGACUGGGGCGGUCGCCUCCUAAAGAGUAACGGAGGCGCUCAAAGGUUCCCUCAGAAUGGUUGGAAAUCAUUCAUAGAGUGUAAAGGCAUAAGGGAGCUUGACUGCGAGACCUACAAGUCGAGCAGGGUCGAAAGACGGACUUAGUGAUCCGGUGGUUCCGCAUGGAAGGGCCAUCGCUCAACGGAUAAAAGCUACCCCGGGGAUAACAGGCUUAUCUCCCCCAAGAGUUCACAUCGACGGGGAGGUUUGGCACCUCGAUGUCGGCUCAUCGCAUCCUGGGGCUGUAGUCGGUCCCAAGGGUUGGGCUGUUCGCCCAUUAAAGCGGUACGCGAGCUGGGUUCAGAACGUCGUGAGACAGUUCGGUCCCUAUCCGUCGUGGGCGUAGGAAAUUUGAGAGGAGCUGUCCUUAGUACGAGAGGACCGGGAUGGACAUACCUCUGGUGUACCAGUUGUCGUGCCAACGGCAUAGCUGGGUAGCUAUGUAUGGACGGGAUAAGUGCUGAAAGCAUCUAAGCAUGAAGCCCCCCU